rnacentral:rRNA from 1 species
UACGAGUGGUGCAAACGUUAUUCGGAAUCACUGGGCUUAAAGGGUGCGUAGGCGGCCAUGAAGGUCUGAUGUGAAAUACCACGGCUCAACCGUGGAAUGGCAUUGGAAACCACAUGGCUGGAGUGAGACAGAGGUGAGCGGAACAGAUGGUGGAGCGGUGAAAUGCGUUGAUAUCAUCUGGAACACCGGUGGCGAAAGCGGCUCACUGGGUCUUUACUGACGCUGAGGCACGAAAGCUAGGGGAGCAAACGGGAUUAGAUACCCCGGUAGUCCUAGCUGUAAACGAUGAGUACUAGUCCGAGGGGACUCCCACAUCCUCUCGGACGUAGCGAAAGUGUUAAGUACUCCGCCUGGGGAGUAUGGUCGCAAGGCUGAA